rnacentral:rRNA from 1 species
GACAGAGGGUGCGAGCGUUAAUCGGAAUUACUGGGCGUAAAGCGUGCGCAGGCGGUUCGUUGUGUCUGAUGUGAAAGCCCCGGGCUCAACCUGGGAAUGGCAUUGGAAACUGGCGGGCUUGAGUGUGGCAGAGGGGGGUGGAAUUCCGCGUGUAGCAGUGAAAUGCGUAGAGAUGCGGAGGAACACCGAUGGCGAAGGCAGCCCCCUGGGCUGACACUGACGCUCAGGCACGAAAGCGUGGGGAGCAAACAGG